rnacentral:rRNA from 1 species
GACGAACGCUGGCGGCGUGCUAACACAUGCAAGUCGAACGGACAGACAGAGAGCUUGCUCUCUUGAAGUUAGUGGCGAACGGGUGAGUAACGCGUAAUCAACCUGCCCUUCAGAGGGGGAUAACAACGGGAAACCGUUGCUAAUACCGCGUACGAUUCAUGAACGGCAUCGUUUAUGACUGAAAGGUGGCCUCUAUGUAUAAGCUAUCGCUGAAGGAGGGGGUUCCGUCUGAUUAGCUAGUUGGAGGGGUAACGGCCCACCAAGGCAAUGAUCAGUAGCCGGUCUGAGAGGAUGAACGGCCACAUUGGGACUGAGACACGGCCCAAACUCCUACGGGAGGCAGCAGUGGGGAAUCUUCCGCAAUGGACGAAAGUCUGACGGAGCAACGCCGCGUGAGUGAUGAAGGUCUUCGGAUUGUAAAGCUCUGUUAAUCGGGACGAAAGAGUUCUGCGUGAAUAAUGCAGAAAAGUGACGGUACCGGAAUAGAAAGCCACGGCUAACCACGUGCCAGCCGCCGCAGUAA